UUCUGAAGAGGAGGCAAUGAUGGAAUGAAAGAUUAAUUGAUCUUGACGUUUCCAGUGAAGGUAUGCUGGGUUUGGGGUGGAUGCAGUUUCACUGCUAGAGGCCAAUGUUGGGUCUGGACAGGGAAAUGAUCCAUCUAUGUAUUUGAUAAGAUCAUAACCAAAAGCAAGGGAUAAAAAUUGAGCUUGCCAAGUAAAACAGUUUUCUGGUGUAAGUUUCAAAGGAAGCUGUGCAGCAGCAUUAAUAGAGAUACCCAUUUUUACACCCAUUUUUACUAAGAAACUGAAAGCAAUAGAAAAAACUUUCGAAAGGGGGGGGACUAAACAGGGACAAGAGGUAUCCGCCGAAGAAGAUCCUUCUCCUUCCCUUUUUUCGGAAGAAAAGGAGGAUCCGGACAAAAUCGAGGAAACGGAAGAGAUCCGAGUGAAUGGAAAGGAAAAAAAAAAAGCACGAAUUCCACUUGUGCUUUAAAGAGACAUGCGAUAAAAAUAGCUUUGUUUAUGAAAUUUCUUAUCUGGAUGGGAAUCAAGAAAAUUCGAAAUUAGAAAUAUUUCAAUUAUUUAAAGAAAAAAAAGAAGAAAAAUAUUAAAAAGAGUAAUAACGAAAAUAAAUAUAAUAAGAGAUAAAAAGAUAUGCGACUUCCCCCUAAAUAUUUUAUACACCCAGUAGAUUGUUGGGUUGAUUGGGUAGGGGAAGUGGCUGUAGAAGUAGGUGUUGUUUGAUCAGCCAUUAUAAAAAAG
rnacentral:lncRNA from 1 species